CCUACGGGAGGCAGCAGUGAGGAAUAUUGGUCAAUGGCCGGAAGGCUGAACCAGCCAAGCCGCGUGAAGGACGAAGGUGCCAAGCAUUGUAAACUUCUUUUGUCAAGGGACAAAAUCAGGCUCGAGAGCCUGACCGAGGGUACUUGAAGAAAAAGCAUCGGCUAACUCCGUGCCAGCAGCCGCGGUAAUACGGAGGAUGCGAGCGUUAUCCGGAUUUAUGGGGUUUAAAGGGUGCGUAGGCGGACGGUUAAGUCAGCGGUAAAAGCCCGGGGCUCAACCCCGGCGAGCCGUUGAGACUGGUUGACUAGAGAAGUCGAGAGGUAUGCGGAAUGCGCGGUGUAGCGGUGAAAUGCUUAGAGAUUGCGCAGAACUCCGAUUGCGAAGGCAGCAUACCGGAGGCGAUCUGACGCUGAGGCACGAAAGCGUGGGUAUCGAACAGGAUUAGAUACCCUUGUAGUC
rnacentral:rRNA from 1 species